GACGAACGCUGGCGGCGUGCUUAACACAUGCAAGUCGAACGGAAAGGCCCUGCUUUUGUGGGGUGCUCGAGUGGCGAACGGGUGAGUAACACGUGAGUAACCUGCCCUUGACUUUGGGAUAACUUCAGGAAACUGGGGCUAAUACCGGAUAGGAGCUCCUGCUGCAUGGUGGGGGUUGGAAAGUUUCGGCGGUUGGGGAUGGACUCGCGGCUUAUCAGCUUGUUGGUGGGGUAGUGGCUUACCAAGGCUUUGACGGGUAGCCGGCCUGAGAGGGUGACCGGCCACAUUGGGACUGAGAUACGGCCCAGACUCCUACGGGAGGCAGCAGUGGGGAAUAUUGUACAAUGGGCGGAAGCCUGAUGCAGCAACGCCGCGUGCGGGUUGACGGCCUUCGGGUUGUAAACCGCUUUCGCCUGUGACGAAGCGUGAGUGACGGUAAUGGGUAAAGAAGCACCGGCUAACUACGUG
rnacentral:rRNA from 1 species